UUGAAAUGGGUGUUCUCGAUUUCGGAGGAUUCGUUACAUCUCAACCCCAAUGAUUUACACUUCACAAACAAUAAAAAUGGACUAGCCACUUCAAUAUUGGUUGGAGAAGGGAUUACAGGCCUAUGCACUGAUAUUCACUAUGGAUAUGAACAAUCACGAGGUUGUUCUCUGCGAAGACUCUACUAAAUCACCAUACUUAUACCGAGCUCCUGAGUUUUCUAGUUACAAUCCUUCUCUUGGAGCACUCUCCAGGAUUCCAUCGUGAGCAGGAAGGAGUUUCUCCAUUAACAGAUCCAGGUUGCUACUCAAGUCCUCGAACUUCUUGUUCGUCGAGGCCAUGUGCUCCUACAAUUGAUUCUCCACUCUUUUGAUCUAGUCUCUGUAGUUGUCAUUUUCUUAAGACCAAGAAGGAGCUCUAAUUCAAAUUGUAAUGAUUUAUAAUGAAAUUCAGAAAUAAAAUUGUAAAUGAGAUAAUUAGCGAAAGUCAAAUGCGAUUUAUUAGCUCAUAUGUAUCUAAGUACAAUACAUUGUAAUUGCCAUGGCUACACUAUUACAAGCUACAGUGGCAUUCUGUAGAAGAAGAAUAAGAAUUUAUGUGAGAAGAGGAGGAAGAAAAAGAAUCAAAGAGAGAGAUUAUAGAGAGAGAAGAGUAGUUAAAUCUGAUAAUUGGCAUGACUUAUUUUGUUGAGCCUUUCCU
rnacentral:lncRNA from 1 species